rnacentral:rRNA from 1 species
ACAAAUGCCCUGCUUCCAGGAAAAGCCUCUAAGCAUCAGGUAACAUCAAAUCGUACCCCAAACCGACACAGGUGGUCAGGUAGAGAAUACCAAGGCGCUUGAGAGAACUCGGGUGAAGGAACUAGGCAAAAUGGUGCCGUAACUUCGGGAGAAGGCACGCUGAUAUGUAGGUGAAGCGACUUGCUCGUGGAGCUGAAAUCAGUCGAAGAUACCAGCUGGCUGCAACUGUUUAUUAAAAACACAGCACUGUGCAAACACGAAAGUGGACGUAUACGGUGUGACGCCUGCCCGGUGCCGGAAGGUUAAUUGAUGGGGUUAGCGGUAACGCGAAGCUCUUGAUCGAAGCCCCGGUAAACGGCGGCCGUAACUAUAACGGUCCUAAGGUAGCGAAAUUCCUUGUCGGGUAAGUUCCGACCUGCACGAAUGGCGUAAUGAUGGCCAGGCUGUCUCCACCCGAGACUCAGUGAAAUUGAACUCGCUGUGAAGAUGCAGUGUACCCGCGGCAAGACGGAAAGACCCCGUGAACCUUUACUAUAGCUUGACACUGAACAUUGAGCCUUGAUGUGUAGGAUAGGUGGGAGGCUUUGAAGUGUGGACGCCAGUCUGCAUGGAGCCGACCUUGAAAUACCACCCUUUAAUGUUUGAUGUUCUAACGUGGGCCCCUAAUCGGGGUUGCGGACAGUGUCUGGUGGGUAGUUUGACUGGGGCGGUCUCCUCCUAAAGAGUAACGGAGGAGCACGAAGGUUGGCUAAUCCUGGUCGGACAUCAGGAGGUUAGUGCAAUGGCAUAAGCCAGCUUGACUGCGAGCGUGACGGCGCGAGCAGGUGCGAAAGCAGGUCAUAGUGAUCCGGUGGUUCUGAAUGGAAGGGCCAUCGCUCAACGGAUAAAAGGUACUCCGGGGAUAACAGGCUGAUACCGCCCAAGAGUUCAUAUCGACGGCGGUGUUUGGCACCUCGAUGUCGGCUCAUCACAUCCUGGGGCUGAAGUAGGUCCCAAGGGUAUGGCUGUUCGCCAUUUAAAGUGGUACGCGAGCUGGGUUUAGAACGUCGUGAGACAGUUCGGUCCCUAUCUGCCGUGGGCGCUGGAGAACUGAGGGGGGCUGCUCCUAGUACGAGAGGACCGGAGUGGACGCAUCACUGGUGUUCGGGUUGUCAUGCCAAUGGCACUGCCCGGUAGCUAAAUGCGGAAGAGAUAAGUGCUGAAAGCAUCUAAGCACGAAACUUGCCCCGAGAUGAGUUCUCCCUGAGACUUAGAGUCUCCUGAAGGAACGUUGAAGACGACGACGUUGAUAGGCCGGGUGUGUAAGCGCAGCGAUGCGUUGAGCUAACCGGUACUAAUGAACCGUGAGGCUUAACCUU